rnacentral:rRNA from 1 species
GAUGAACGCUGGCGGCGUGCCUAAUACAUGCAAGUCGAGCGAACAGACGAGAAUGUUUCUCCUCUGUCGUUAUCGCGGGACGGGUGAGUAAAACAUGUGGAACCUACCUAUAUAACUGUGAUAACUUCUCGAGACCCCGGCGAUUACCGGAUAAUAUAUUUAACCUCAUAGGUCAAUAUUGUAAAACGCUUUUGUUGUCACUUAUAUAUAUAUCCGCGCCGCAUUAGCUAGUUGGUAAGGUAACGGCUUACCAAGGCAACGAUGCAUAGCCGACCUGAGAGGGUGAUCGGCCACACUGGAACUGAGACACGGUCCAGACUCCUACGGGAGGCAGCAGUAGGGAAUCUUCCGCAAUGGGCGAAAGCCUGACGGAGCAACGCCGCGUGAGUGAUGAAGGUCUUCGGAUCGUAAAACUCUGUUAUUAGGGAAGAACAAAUGUGUAAGUAACUAUGCACGUCUUGACGGUACCUAAUCAGAAAGCCACGGCUAACUACGUG